rnacentral:rRNA from 1 species
AGAUUGAACGCUGGCGGCAUGCCUUACACAUGCAAGUCGAACGGCAGCACGGGAGCAAUCCUGGUGGCGAGUGGCGAACGGGUGAGUAAUACAUCGGAACGUGCCCAAUCGUGGGGGAUAACGCAGCGAAAGCUGUGCUAAUACCGCAUAAGAUCUACGGAUGAAAGCAGGGGAUCGCAAGACCUUGCGCGAAUGGAGCGGCCGAUGGCAGAUUAGGUAGUUGGUGAGGUAAAGGCUCACCAAGCCUUCGAUCUGUAGCUGGUCUGAGAGGACGACCAGCCACACUGGGACUGAGACACGGCCAGACUCCGUAGGGAGCAGCAGGUGGGAAUUUUGGACAAGUGGCGAAAGCCUAGACUCCGAGCCAGUCGCCGCGGUGCGAGGA